GGGCAGGAACAGAUAUUUUGACUAUGAAUGUAUCGUUUAUUUUCUCUACGGCCUGGUGUAUAUCGGCAUGCAUGUCAUCCAAGAGAUUUGUCGGAAUCUGUCGUUAAUCUUAAUCAUGUUUUACAGUGGACAUCAAAUUGACAUGUUUUCAGAAUGUAAAAUAGUCAUUGUGAAAUGUUUUUUGUUUUUGUUUUUUUCACAGAUGACCACAGUUGGAGACGAUGCCCUGCUAGAUGGGGGCUCGAAGCCUGUCCUUUCAAACACCGAAGGGGAUGAUGAUGCUACUCGUCCGAUAAUCACUAAACAGAUGACCACAGUUGGAGACGAUGCCCUGCUAGAUGGGGGCUCGAAGCCUGUCCUUUCAAACACCGAAGGGGAUGAUGUUGCUACUCGUCCGAUAAUCACUAAACAGGUACAUUCAUGUUUAUCACUUCAAAUGUAAUUAUAGUCUCUCUCA
rnacentral:lncRNA from 1 species